rnacentral:rRNA from 1 species
AUUGAACGCUGGCGGCAGGCCUAACACAUGCAAGUCGAGCGGAGCGGCGGACGGGUGAGUAAUGCCUAGGAAUCUGCCUGGUAGUGGGGGAUAACGUCCGGAAACGGGCGCUAAUACCGCAUACUAUCAGAUGAGCCUAGGUCGGAUUAGAUAGUAGGUGGGGUAAAGGCUCACCUAGGCGACGCUCCCUCGCUGGUCAGAGAGGAUGACCAGCCACACUGGAACUGAGACACGGUCCAGAGUCCGACGGGAGGCAGCAGUGGGGAAUAUUGCACAAUGGGCGCAAGCCUGAUGCAGCCAUGCCGCGUGUAUGAAGAAGGCCUUCGGGUUGUAAAGUACUUUCAGCGGGGAGGCGUUACUCUCAGAAGAAGCACCGGCUAACUCCGUGCCAGCAGCCGCGGUAAUAC